CAAUAGUUCAUGUAUGUAUGUAUGUAUGUAUGUAUGUAAUACAGUGACGGGUGCAGGGGUGUUGUCCUAGUUGCCCGGGCAACACUCUUUUUAGUCGAGCAGACACCACAAAAUUGGGACCGAGGUUUUUCGGGCAACAGUCAAGGAAAAGAGAGUCGACCCUUACUAGAAUAACAGUUGCCGGACCUACUAGGUGUUGCCCGACCUGCUCACUAGAAUGCAACACCCCAAAAACCUUUGGGCAACACCUAAAAUCUUUUGGGCAACACCCAUUAAAAAAUCCUGGAUCUCCCACUGAAAUGUAGACCGGAUUUCAAGCAGAGCAAAAGCCUAUAUUUACAUUCGUGCGCCAGGAACAUUCAAAUCAAAAUAUUAUCUAGGUGAAUCAUGAAGUUUCCCGUCAACGGAGCUUUUUUCUUUGCUAUAAUAGCUAUUUAUUGGUAUUAUUUUGAAUUUUGUCGGUACCGGAAUCUACCUCAGUUUGUGGGCGGCUACGUCGACCCGCGAUUUAAGCUAGUCGGAGAAACAUUUCG